AAAAAAAAAGUAAACCUGACCACACUCCUUUUCUCACAGGGGUCUGGUGUGCAAUGGCUGCAAACAGCAGUCUCCUUGGUAGUGUAUACAGCCUGUUGCUGGUAUAGGUUGUUCUAAGGGAUCUUAGAGACAUUC